AUUGAACGCUGGCGGCAGGCCUAACACAUGCAAGUCGGGCGAGUGGCGGACGGGUGAGUAAUGUAUGGGGAUCUGCCUGAUGGAGGGGGAUAACUACUGGAAACGGUAGCUAAUACCGCAUACCAUCAGAUGAACCCAUAUGGGAUUAGCUUGUGGGUGGGGUAACGGCUCACCAAGGCGACGCGCCCUAGCUGGUCUGAGAGGAUGAACAGCCAAACUGGGACUGAGACACGGCCCAGACUCCUACGGGAGGCAGAAGGGGGGAAUAUUGCACAAUGGGCGCAAGCCUGAUGCAGCCAUGCCGGGUGUAUGAAGAAGGCCUUCGGGUUGUAAAGUACUUUCAGUGGGGAGGCGUUACCGGCAGAAGAAGCACCGGCUAACUCCGGGCCAGCAGCCGCGGUAAUUC
rnacentral:rRNA from 1 species